GGUAAACGGCUCAGGUGGAGGUGCGUGGGCCAUUGUCCACGUCUGAGCUCCAUCACCAGAGGACGAGGUAGGACGGGACCUGUUUGUGCUCGUGGGUCCAGAGUGCAAUGUGUCUGUGCAACCAGCUCCCUCACUGAGGUCUGGG
ensembl:miRNA